CCUACGGGUGGCAGCAGUAGGGAAUGUUCGGCAAUGGGGGGAACCCUGACCGAGCAACGCCGCGUGAAAGAAGAAGUUAUUCGUAAUGUAAAGUUCUUUUAACAGGGAAGAAAGAGAAAUUUGACGGGACCUGAAGAAUAAGCUCCGGCUAACUACGUGCCAGCAGCCGCGGUAAUACGUCGGGAGCGAGCGUUAUCCGGAAUUAUUGGGCGUAAAGGGUGCGUAGAGGGCAUAGUAAGUCUUUUGUAAAAAUGCUGGGCUCAACCCAGUAGGGCAAAAGAUACUGCAAAGCUAGAGUAUGCCCGAGGCAAGUGGAACUACCUGUGUAGCGGUCCCAUGCGUACAUUUCUGU
rnacentral:rRNA from 1 species